UUUGCAGAGGUUUGGGAAGACAAGAGAAGCUAGGGCUAAGGGAUAUCUUAGGCUCAAACCUGUGGCAGAUGGCUAACGGAGGUGCCCACUGAACACAUCUAAGCAGAUCUGGCUACCAGGUUCUCCCAGCAUCCCUCAGUCCCUACCUGUUACAGCGCAUGGUCAGUAUACCCUGGCCUCUACCCUAUGUUUCUUCAGCUCAGGGACUGGGCUGCCCUUCCCUGUAGAAUCCAGUCAUUUUAGUUAUUGGCCCUUUUGUCUACCCUUUACUCUCUUGGCUAUGCCCUCUUCUCACAUGGCCUGCUCAGGGUCGCGUCCACUCUGGACUCUCCCGGAUGUCCCUGCCUCUGGCUAUACUCUCCCCUUUGUCUAUAAUAAACUUUCUGCUCCACCAUACCUAGGAGUAGUCAUGUUCUUCCUUUUUUAUUUCCUUUUUUUUUUUUUUUUCUUUCAUUCCGGAGUAACAGGGAAGGGACCAGGAAGUUCAUGACAGAGUUCAUGGUACUUCUGAGGUGGAAAGGAGAGACAUUAUGGAUGCACUAGGAAGCGUGUAGAAGCCCGAGGGGCGGGGGGAGUCACUGAAGUCCUCCCGUGUUUUCUCUUAUUUGUACCUUGAGGACAUCCUCAGUGAGAUCAUGAACGUACAUCAUCAGGUAAGCUGAGGCUCCUCACAGUGAACUCAAGGAUAGCCGCCCGCUAUGGUUAUUGCUUUAGAUUGGGUCCUCCAGAUUCCAGCGUGCUUUUUCUCUCUCGAUGCUGGGGAACGACCCAGUUUUCCUUGCUUUCCCUCCUUUAGCCCUUUGCUUAGAACUCUUAAGUUACCAGUUGGCCUCUGGCAGAGCUGCAGUUUAGAAUUUAGCCAGCAGAUGGCGCUAGAGGCUAAGGGAAGACGCCCCUCCCUUCGGCCUGUCUGUCUGAUCUUGGCUCUCCUUCCCUCUUUGGUUUGAAGAGAUAGAUCGUAGCCCCUUGAUUGCCAUUUCUACGGGGACCUGCAGUCCAGCCCUAGGAAGCCGGUUGGAGACGCAGACCCUUCAGAGAGAAGAAACGAACGAGUAGAGCAAGAGGGAGAUUCUCCUAGAAAGAGCCGCUUCAUCUGUUAAGGAGGAACUAUGAAACCUCUUACAGCAGGCUGCGACCUCCCUGUCCAUCCUGUGUAAAAUAUGAAAUAAGAGUUUUAAUUACCGAGCUUGGAAGGCUGCCGACAUGUUUAAUAUUUAAUGUCUCCAAUGCCUGUGCCCCAGGCGUGCCGGCACUGACACAAUUGGGGUUUCCCUUGGGUUGGUUCUGAAUGUACUUGGACAACAGCCAGGCAGCCGCCUUCCCCAACACCUGGGAGCCUCCUGUAGCCCAGCCUGGGCCCAGGCCUGCCCUGAGCCUCCCACCCCCUGAGGGACUCCUGACGAGAAGGCCCAGUGAGGCCUGUUCUUCCACCUCAGGGUGGACAUCAGGUCCUGGAGGCCCUGCGAACUAGCUAGUUAGUACUGGACCCAGCUCAGGGUCCUGGCAGAGAAACGAGAGUCAGUAGAAGAUGGGAGCCCAGGAGGGGGCCGGGGCAGAUGAGCUUGAGUUUGAGGUCUGCUUUUCUGCAAGCCAUUUAGCCCUUUCUCUGGGUGUCACUUUUAUUAUUCAUAAAGCGGAGAGUGUAUUUCCUGCGUUCCGGGUUGUUAAUGUGUCGCUAUUUUUGAGGUUUAGCAUGUGCCAGAGCCCCGCUAAGCACUUCGCAUGUACCGUGUCUUCCUCAAUACAACGACCCUUUGAAGUGGCUAAGCUGGAACUUGGGAACGAGGCCUCCUGAUUCCAGAGCUUGCGACUCCAAGGGCUUUGUGUGGAAGAGCCUUGCGUGUUUGGAGAAAUGUGAACCACCCAGUUCCAGUCCCUGUGCAGUGGCGCCUUCCGUUUGCUAGGCAGUGGGGACUCAGGGCAGCACCUCGUACUGCGACUGUGUGCCUCACAUCUCAUUCCUGCACAGAGGUGGGGGGCACCCAAGCUGUGUCUGAUUAGUUGAUUGGCACUGUCAAAAUAGUUGAAUCCCCCAGGCAUGGUGGCGCAUGCCUUUAAUCUCAACACUUGAGAAGCAAAGGGAGGUGGAUUUCUAGUUUCAGGCCAGCCUGGUCUACACAGGAAGGCCCUUUUGUUUUGCUUUGUUUAAUUUUUGUUGUUGUUUAAGACAGGGUUUCUCUGUGUAGCCCAGGCUGCCCUGGAACUAGCUUUGUAGACCAGGAUGGCCUCAAAGUCACAGAGAUCUGCCUGCCUCUGACUCUGGAAUGCAGGGACUAAAAGUACAUGCCACCGUCAAUCGAUGGCCCUGACUUAAAAGAAAAAAAAAUAAAAGCAGAAUUCUUGGA